GAUCAGUUCGAGCUGAAACCGCGACGCGAUCGCCACGCAGCCGCGCUUCACAUAACAAAUAAAAAACUCACAAUAAAAAAAUUAAUAAAAAACCGAAUAAACUCGAAAAAAAAGUGAGCAGGCAGCAGCAAUACGUAUAUUCAACUAUUUUUAGCGCAUUACACGCCAGUGAAGUGACAGUGCAAUGAAAUGUGUGCAACAGCGCUAUAAAAACAACAACAACAACAA